UAUGUGAUAGAACUGUAUUAAAAAAAGAUGUCAGUGUUACAAUUCCCCUUUGAAAAAACCACACUUUAGAUUUAACUGUAUUUUGAAACAGAAGGGCGGUACACUUACAUACGCCCACUUUUUGGGCGGAGUCUGCUUGAUAUGACACAUCAGCCUGACUACGUCUCAGAAGGAAGAGAUCGUAAUUUCCCCAUUGAAAAUCAUUAAAAUGUACAAAAACAGCUAUCAAUUGGCACCAAAAUUUACAUGGACAUCUCCACUUAUGACUACUUAACAUAUCACACGGAGUAGGCUCUCUGUGGCUGAUUUAAGAGAAAUGAGCAGCCUCUCUAGCUGAAGUGCACUGUUACGUCUAUCUUCUUUCACCAAUCACCACCGUACGCAAACACAUUGCAUUCUGAGAGGCUUUAUCUAAGCAAAUUAUUCAUAUGUCAUUAUAUAGUAUUCAAUUGAAAUUGGUAAGGGUUCAUUUGACUUAGACUUCCACUGGAGUCCAUGUAUGGGGUAUCACCUGCUGCUUAUCCAAAAAGGAGGUGCUUUAAAUGGCCACACUCAGCUGAAGGAAGUCCAGCGCUGCUUGUCUUUGCAGUAAGCUGACCUCAGGACGUUGUCAUGCUGUGCGGGUCGAGCCUCCUCGUCGGGCCAUGAGCUGACACUUUUGUUUACUUUUAACUCAUCAAAUCGCCGACCUGCCUGGCUUGUGCGCUGGCAGCGGGAUACAUUCUCGGUCUAUUGUGGUGCAUAAAAAUAAAAAGAUAAAUAAUAACUCUUGGCCAAAUUGGGUGUGCUGCCUGCACAUUCUGUGCCAGUCCCAAGCCUGAAUGAAUGAGGAGGAUUAUGUCAGGAAGGGCAGCCGGUGUAAAAAAAUCCAACCAACCAUAGGGCCAGGAAGGUAAAUUUUUCACUUACAACUUCAAUGUAUGUAUGUUUUUGUUUUCGGAGGCUUCGUGGCUGUUUGUCUACUGUCUACCAUCAAUCAUUGGACACGUAAGUAUGGCUGAGGAUCAAGAGGUUUGUACGGCUUCGUGCACCAACUGCACCCUUCUCUUAGAGAGGUUGUCCCUGCUAGAGGGACGUGUCCGCCAGCUAGAGCAGAAUAGCGCGAUAACCGUAGAUGUGGCGGACACAGAUGCGGGCUGUAGUCAGCCCGCUAGCCCAGUUAGCACUAGCCCCAAGCGGCUUGCUAACUGCGAUGAGCCAGCUAAGACUCAUAGCCGUCCCAAGCCAUCUCUGUCUACUGGCUCUCCACUUUGGUCAUAGGUGACUCCAUUACCCGAAACAUCACGCUUAAAAAUCCAGCCACGGUAAUGUGUAUCCCUGGCGGCAGAGCACCCCACAUCGAAGCUAAUCUUAGGGAGCUGGCUCGCAAUAGGCUCGCAAUAGGUCAGUAGCGUAGGUCCAACAACACUAGCUACUUGGAUAUAGUGAUACACGUUGGCUCCAAUGAUGUUAGGAUGAGGCAAUCAGAGAUCACAAAGAAUAACAUAGCGAUGACUUGUGAUCUCGUCAGAAAGAUGAAUCGGCAUCGAGUAUUUGUCUCUGGCCCCCUACCUGGGAGAGGCACUGAUGAGAGGUUUAGUAGAUUAGUCUCCUUUAAUCAAUGGAUGGCUGGUUUCUGUAAGAAGCAGGGACUAUUUUAUAGAUAGUUCCGGAUAGUUUAUAGUUCCGGAUAAUAUUACAUGGCUGCCGAAUAUUAACUUUCAAAUUCCUAUGGUCGUAUCUUCCCGCCGCGCUAAUAAACAUUUUAGACGCAAUGUUGGGCUAGACAACACGAUCUUACUCGUGUUUCGUUUAAAAAUCCUCCGAUAGAUACGAACCCCGAUCUACCGAUUAGACUCAAACUCGGUUUUAUGAAUAUUAGAUCACUUCACACGAAAGCAGUACUCGUUAAUGACCUCAUCACAGAACAUAAUCUAAACAUUUUUGGUCUUUGCGAGACCUGUUUAAAAACUAAUGAACUGCUGCCGCUUAAUGAGGCCUCGUCUCCAAAUUUUGUGAGCUCGCAACUGGCGCGUCCUCGUAAAAAGGGCGGGGGUGUCGCCCUUAUCUCUAAUUCUGAUCUUAGAUUUAGGCCUCGUUCGAUUAACGUAUUUAAAACAUUUGAAGUUCUCAUUGUCCAAUCAACAGUGCUACCGUUGUUUUAUUUUGCUGUUAUUUCCCGUCCACCCGGGGCUUACUUUGGUUUCCUGGAUGAAUUUUCAGAAUUCGUGGCUGAUCUAGUGACAAAUGCGGAUAAUAUAAUAAUUAUGGAGGAUUUCAAUAUCCACAUAAACUUACCGUCAGAGCCACUUACUUUGGCGUUUCAGACCUUAAUUGAUACGUUUGGUUUUACGCAAGCCAUACAGGCAGCAACGCAUAAGAAUGGAAAUACCUUAGAUCUGGUAUUAUCCCGAGGACUGGCAACCUCAAAUAUAA